AAUAUACUCCCUCCAUCCGUAAAUACUUGUCCUAGAAAUGGUUGUAUCUGGACUUAUUUUAGCUAUAGAUACAUCCAUUUUCAACGAUCUCUAGGACAAGUAUUUCCGGACGGAGGGAGUAUAUC
rnacentral:pre_miRNA from 1 species